rnacentral:rRNA from 1 species
AGUGAACGCUGGCGGUAGGCCUAACACAUGCAAGUCGAACGGCAGCACAGGAGAGCUUGCUCUCUGGGUGGCGAGUGGCGGACGGGUGAGGAAUACAUCGGAAUCUACUCUGUCGUGGGGGAUAACGUAGGGAAACUUACGCUAAUACCGCAUACGACCUACGGGUGAAAGCAGGGGACCUUCGGGCCUUGCGCGAUUGAAUGAGCCGAUGUCGGAUUAGCUAGUUGGCGGGGUAAAGGCCCACCAAGGCGACGAUCCGUAGCUGGUCUGAACGGCUGAUCAGCCACACUGGAACUGAGACUCGGGCCAGGCUCCGACGGGAGGCAGGAGUGGGGAAUCUUGGACCAUGGGCGCAAGCCUGAUCCAGCCAUACCGCGUGGGUGAAGAAGGCCUUAGGGUUGUAAAGCCCUUUUGUUGGGAAAGAAAUCCAGCUGGUUAAUACCCGGUUGGGAUGACGGUACCCAAAGAAUAAGCACCGGCUAACUGCGUGCCAGCCGCCGCGGUAA